rnacentral:rRNA from 1 species
AUUGAACGCUGGCGGAAUGCUUUACACAUGCAAGUCGAACGGCAGCACGGACUUCGGUCUGGUGGCGAGUGGCGAACGGGUGAGUAAUGUAUCGGAACGUGCCCAGUCGUGGGGGAUAACGUAGUGAAAAUUACGCUAAUACCGCAUACGAUCUAUGGAUGAAAGCGGGGGAUCGCCAGACCUUGCGCGAUUGGAGCCGCCGAGAUCAGAUUAGGUAGUUGGGGGGGUAAAGGCCCACCAAGCCAACGAUCUGUAGCUGGUCUGAGAGGACGACCAGCCACACUGGAACUGAGACACGGUCCAGACUCCUACGGGAGGCAGCAGUGGGGAAUUUUGGACAAUGGGCGAAAGCCUGAUCCAGCCAUUCCGCGUGCAAGAUGAAGGCCCUCGGGUUGUAAACUGCUUUUGUACAGAACGAAAAGGUUUCUACUAAUACUAGGAGCUCAUGACGGUACUGUAAGAAUAAGCACCGGCUAACUACGUGCCAGCAGCCGCCGUAA